UUAAAAAAAUAUCCCAGCUGAGAGGGAGAAGCCCAAGGGAGCAACCUCUGCUCCUCUGGUAGAGCCCAGGAAGAGCAACAGCAGGAGGGAGAAAGAACACAUUUUGCAUCUGGGUCUGAUGGGUUGACAGGGAUAUUAGAAUAAAUAAUUCAGAGCCAGCUCCAGCCCUCUCAGAAAGCAAAGGGGCUCUCUGGGGCCCAAAGAAGCCCCUGCUAUUGUAAGCCAGGCCCAAAGAGGAUGUGAAGACUCGUGGGCAGGACCAGGCUAACAGGUCAAACAGAGAUCAGGCUACUCUGCCUUUCAGAAAGGCAAGUGGAGUUUGCUAGGGCUGCCACAACAAAGAACCACAAACUGGGUGUCUUAAACAACAGAAAUUUAUUGUCUAAAAGUUCUGGGGUCUGACAUGAAGGUUCUCCAGGGCUGUUCCUUCUAAGGACAAUGAGGGAAACUACUCUGUGCUUCUCUCGUAGCUUCUGGUGGUUUGCUGGCAAUCACUGGGAUACUUUGGCUUCUGCUGCGGCAAUCUGACCUCUACAUAACCUUCACAUGACCUUGUCUCUUUGUGCCUAUCUCUGAGUUUGAAUUUCUCUUUUUAUGAUAUCUUUUUACAAAGACACCAAUUGUAUUAGAUUAGGGCCUACCCUAAUGGCAUUCUCUUAACUUAAUACCUCUGAGAAUAACCUAUCUCCAAAUAUGGCCCAAAUAAUUCUCCAAACUCUCCAAAUAAUUCAACCCAUAAUGGUGGGUGAGCUUACCAGCAAGGAAACCGGCUAGAGUUCUCCCUGUAGUUGAAGAACCAAUUUCAUUUUCAGCUAAACAAACAGGUUAUCACUGAAGAGGAGAAUCUUCAUUAGCAUCUGCAUACCUGAGAGAAGGAUGUUUUCAAGAUUCAGAGAAGAACUGAAGUAAAGAAUGAAUGAAAAACUUUUUCUUCCAGAGGAGCUAUUGGCAUAGUGGAGAGAGCGAUGUGCCACCAGUGCAAAGGAGAGACAAUAGGACUGCGCCAUCAUGGAGAUCACGAACCACCUUGCAAGACAGAAAAGAAAGUGUCCUUUCCAAUGUGAUCAGUCUUAAAAACUAUCCUCAGGUGAAUAUUCAAAUAUUCUGUUGAUUCCAUUGAGGAACAAAUAAUAACCUUUCUCCAAGGUGAGACAAUUUCUAAACUUUGAUUUUUCAACUUCAGAUGAAACUUGAACCUUGAAACUUGAAAGGUUGUCAUUCUUUCUCUAGGGACAGGAAAUGAGGUGAAGAAGUUUUAAAAAUAUUUUUUACAAAAAAAUUUUAGACAUCAGAAAUAUUUUUUUAAACAAUAUUUUGAUGACUUAAAUGCAAGUGAAUUAGAAGCUUCAGUUUGAAAAAUUUUUCAAUUUCAAAAACUAAAUAUAAAAUAUAAUUUGGAAUAUGGGAGAAAAGAUAAUAUAGGUUAGAGUAGACAGAAAUGAUUCAGAUAUAACUUGCAUUUGUGUAUUUUGUAUUUUUCCAUGUGUUGUCCUUUUAUUUUUCAGGCAUCAUUAUUUGCUUUUUUUCUUCAAUUUACAAUGAAGUACUUUGUGGCCAGCUGCGUUAGCUCAAGCCAGUAAUCCCAGUACUUUGGGAGGCUGAGGCAGGCAGAUUGCCUGAGGUUAGAAGUUUGACAGUAGCCUGGCCACCAUGGUGAAACCCUGUCUCUACUAAAAAUGCAAAAAUUAGCCGGGCAUGGUGGCAUGUGCCUGUAAUCCCAACUACUUGGGGGGCUGAGGCAGGAGAAUCAUUGAACACAGGAGGUGGAGGUUGCAGUGAGCCGGGAUCACACCACUGAUAUCCUGUCUGGGUGACAGAGUAAGAUCCCAUCUCAAAAACUAAAAACUAAAAAAUAAAAUAAAAUACAUCUUGUUUGGUGUGUGUAUUAUAUUGUAUGUAUGUAUGCAUGCAUGCAUUUAUGCAUAUUUUUAAGAUGAAAUUAUCAAUCACUUUGAAAAAUUUUAAUUAUUUCCUUUCUGCAUUUGGACACUGUACAAAUAUUACAGAGUGAAUUCACAAUAAGCAUCUUUGCUUUCAAGAGUCAAAAGACUGAAAACACGCAAAAUUCACAGAAACAAAAUACAAUAUAAAAUAAGUAAAAAAGAAAUUCUAAACAUAUUCCAUCUUCUUCUCUGGUCUGCACAUCAAAGACUAUUCAGCAGAGAAGUUUCUUGAGAGGAGAAGUAUGUUUACUCAGUUUUUGCAUCACUGGCCCCUAGCAGAGUGCUUGGAAUGAGUAGGCCCUCAGAAAGUAUUUCUUAAGU
rnacentral:lncRNA from 1 species